GACGUAGGAGGCGAGCGUUGUCCGGAUUCAUUGGGCGUAAAGAGCGCGCAGGCGGCUUGGUAAGUCGGAUGUGAAAACCCGAGGCUCAACCUCGGGCGUGCAUCCGAAACUGCUCGGCUAGAGGUAGGUAGGGGAGAUCGGAAUUCCUGGUGUAGCGGUGAAAUGCGGCAGAAUAUCAGGAGGAACACCGGUGGCGAAAGGCGGCUCGUCUAGAAACGGUACUGACGCUGAGACGCGAAAGCGUGGGAGCGAACAGG
rnacentral:rRNA from 1 species